CACAUCCUUUCCUGGCCCGAUAGGUACUCAGACUCAUUUUUCUGUGAGAUCCUGGGCAUAUUACUCAGCCUCUGUAAGUUUCAGUUUCCUCAUCUGAAAAUGGGCCUGACGUAAGGUCACUGUGAGAAUAAAAAUGAGGCGACAUUUGGAAAGCACUCAGUGUAGCAUCUGGCACGAGGAAAGCACUUUGUUCAACAAAUAUUUGUUACUUGCUGUCACGAGGACUAUGUUACCUUGGAUUUUUUUUCUUUGAGUUAAAAUCCUGUUAAGAGAGGCCCAGGUUUCAGGAGAUGGAAAGACAAUCAAUCACCCUGCUGGGUCGGUGGACUCACGGAACAAGAAAGUUUCAUUUUUACCUUCCCAGGUUCCUCAUCAGCUAGGAACAAUGCACAUUUUCCAUUUCACCUCCUCCCUUUUCCAUGAAGCAGCGGGAAAAAAAAAGACAGAUUACUGAUUUUUACUUAGUUAUACAAAAUUAAAUAUGUACAUAGUUUAAAGAAUCAACUUUACAGCACUUUAAUGCUUUAAUUUUUUGUAACCAACAUACUCAGUAUAUCCUUAUAUAACUUUUUCUUUCAUUCAUCUAUUUUUUAAAAUUGAAUUUAAUGUUUUGUUUGUUUGUUUUCUGUUUUUUGAGACAAGGUCUUUCUGUGUAGUCCAGGCUGGCCUUGAACUUGCUGUGUAGCCUCAGCUGGCCUCAACCUCUCAAAGAUCCUCCUGCCUUAGCCUCCUGAGCGCUGGGAUUACAGGUGUGUGCCAGAGCAUUUCUCUCCACAGUGUCAGGCCCCAGGGAAAGCUGCUUUCGCCACCAGGCCAGCUCUCAGGGUUCGGCAGCUAAGAAGAGAUGAAGACGGAAAGCAGGAGCUCUCCGAUGUCCCCCGAAGAAAACCCCCAUUCUUUGGACGCCACAGAGAAGGGCCAGGCCCUCGUCGGUAAAGGAGGAUGGGGGUGAAGGCGGAGACCUGAGGUCCCUCUGCUUCCUGAAGUGACUUCCAAUUCAUCGUACUAUUUUUAGCUGCAACCUCACCCACGUUUCCAAAAGUACUUGGGGUCACCAAUUGCUGCGUCAUCUGGUGGACUCUGAAUAUUCCCCCGCCUAACUCCCUCGCCACUUACUUUCUCAUGUGCUGCUAGAGGAUUCAGCUUGUUCAGAUCUCUUGAUCCACUUACCACAUAUUUAUUCUUAGAGAUCCACUUUUUGGGGGGGCGGUUUACCAGGGAUCAAACUCAGAACCUCGCUCGCCAGGCCAGGCGUGGUGCCACUGAGCUAAAUUCCCAGGCCUAGAUUUACUUUUAAAAAUCACCUUGUCAUUGUCCCUUGUGUAUUUAUUUCUUGGUCUUUGUAAGUUUAUCCUUUAAAAUAUUCAUUUGUCUAAGCCAGAUGUGGUGUUAUAAAUUUGUAAUCCCAGGACUCUGGGAGGCUGAAGCAGGAGGAUCACAAGUUCAAACCCAGCCGGGGCAAUUUAUUGAGACCCUGUCUUAAAAUUAAAAAGAGCUAGGGAGGGCCAGGGAUUUAGCUUAGUGGUUCCGCCGCCUGCCUCACAAGUGCAAGGACCUGAGUUCGAUCCCUGGUACCAAAAAAAAAAAGAGCUAGGGAAAGUAGCUCAGUGAAGGCCCUGGGUUUACCCCAGUAUCAUACAUGUGCACAGGCGCACACACACGCACACACACAUGAAAAAGAAAAGCAAAAAAGAAAUUCAUUUUUAAAAAUUCUUAUUUUCUUACAUAUGUAUAAAGAAACUCUGGAAAGACAGAAGAAGCUAGUAACAGUAUUUACUUAUGGACAGGAAGAAGUGGAACUGUGCCAGUGGGAGACAUGGAUGAGGGAAACUUUUUGGUCUGUGCCUCUAUUUCUUGGCUUUAAUACCAUGUGAAUGUAUUACUCAAUCAGAACAUUAGAUUUCAGUUGAGCUCCACGAGGAAAUGGAAUACAACAUAUGUGUUGAAUCUGCUGCCUUUAACCAGAAGUCUCAAGUGUAACUCUAAUAUUAGCAGAUAUUAGAUAUUAGCAGCUUCACUCCUGAGACCACACAGCUUCCUGACCCAAAGCUAUCCUAAGCAAAUAGAAAGAAAUAAGCAAAAACACAGGCAAAUUUAUUUAUGUCUCUGACAUUAAAGAUUUAUACAAGGC
ensembl:lncRNA